rnacentral:rRNA from 1 species
AUUGAACGCUGGCGGCAGGCCUAACACAUGCAAGUCGAGCGCGCCGCGGACGGGCGUGUAAUGUAUGGGUCUCUGCCCGAUAGAGGGGGCUCACUUCUGGACACGGUCGCUUAUACCGCAUACUCUCGGCUUCACCCAUAUGGGAUUAGCUAGGAGGUGGGGUAAAGGCUCACAUAGGCGACGCUCUCUAGCUGGUCUGAGAGGAUGAUCAGCCACACUGGGACUGAGACACGGCCCAGACUCCUACGGGAGGCAGCAGUGGGGAAGAUUGCACAAUGGGCGAAAGCCUGAUGCAGCCAUGCGGCGUGUAUGAAGAAGGCCUUAGGGUUGUAAAGUACUUUCAGCGGGGAGGCGUUACCCGCAGAAGAAGCACCGGCUAACUCCGUGCCAGCCGCCGCGGUAAUAC